CCCGAGACUUUAUCUUCUUCUCUUUUUUGUCAUUCAUUUUCAACUUUUUUUUUUCGACACAUUAAAAGUCAUUUCGCCUUAUCGCAAAAUUAAGCUUUAUGAAAAAUUAAGCAAACAUUAUCCAAUCUGUGUGGGCUUUAUUAGGCUUGUAACGUGGCUAAGGGCUAAAAGGUAUUUGAAAAAAGGAUAUGAAGGCCCAAAUGAAUGUUUGUUGGUUAUAUUUUUUGAAACAAGGGUUAUUAUCUAGGCAUUGCAUCAACUAUUUGACUUUUUGAGCACUUUGCUUUUUUCUUGAACUUUGGUUUUCAUUCUUUUUUCAUCAUCACUUUGUGAUUUUUUUUUUGUUUUGUUUUUUU
rnacentral:lncRNA from 1 species